rnacentral:lncRNA from 1 species
GUUUCUUCCUGGCCGGCCUUGAGAAACCAUUUCCGCCGCUGACGUGCGUCUACGCCCAUCAUUUCAGCUGACACGUUGCUGUAACGUCUCCUCCGUUUCAUGCUCUUUCGAACCCUGUCAGCUGCGGGAAGGAACUUCUAAACUAAAAGCUGGCAAGACUCAGCAGAAAAAAAAUAUCGAAAGCUGCUUCUGCUGCCCCAGCUUCACUCAGGCCCUGGCUGCUCCUUCACUGGUCUACACUGCUGCCUCCUGGAACCACCCACUCUGCAACCAGGUCUGAUGCCCGGUGUGGACAUUCAGGGAUGAGGUCCCCUGGGGCUAAAUGAAUGAACAGAUUCUGAAAAGCAGAAGCUACGUCCGGGGGUCUCUGGGCCACAAAUCACUUUCUGACCUGCAGCCGUGAGGCGUGAGGCUCACUCGGAAGCUCCCGGAACCUGGAGACUGCCCUCACUCAACACUUGAACAAGCAAGGGGCCAGGUUCAAUGAAACACCUGCCCGCCCGGCACACCAGGCUCAAAAGCAAGCAAGCAAGCAAACAAACAAACAAAAUCAAAUCAGGCCUUCACAACUCCCCAAAUCAUGUGUGAGUUUCUACAGAGCAGAAGCCAAAAAUAUAUGUUAUCUAACUAGGUCCUAUUUACAUAUAUUUUUAUGGCUGCUCUAAAAAAUUAUCACAAACAUAGCGGCUUCACCCCGUUUCCCCUGUUGUGAUUAUUACACAUUGGAUGCCUGUAUCAAAAUAUCUCAUGGACCCCAUAAAUAGCAACACCCUGUAUGUACUCAUGACAAUUUUUUAAAAAAGAACACUUACACUUUCCAUUUCUGCAGGUUAGACGUCUGAAAUGGUCUCCCUGGGCUAACAUCAGGUCUUGGGAGGGCUGGUUCCUUCUAGAGGCUCCAGGGGAGAACCCCUCGGCCCUCAGUCCCAUCCUCCGUCUUCAGAGCCAGUGGUGUCUCGUCACUGAGACCUGCUCUGCCCUCCGCCUCUAUGUUGAAGGGCCCGAGAUUCUACUGGGUCCCCCCGGAUAAUCCAGGGUCACCCCUCCGUGUCAGGCGGCUGACUGGCAGCCUCAUGUGUCCACAGUUUCCGUGCACCGGGAGGUGGGCAUGUUUAGGGGCCCCCAUUCUGCCUCCCAUGAGUCUGCAGGGCCUGACUUUGUAAUUUGGGAUCAUUCUUAGGGUACCCAGAUACAACAAACAAAAACGCAGCAAACAAAAACACAGGGUGCCCAGCUCAACAGGAAGUUUGGAGAAGCAGUGACUGAUUUUUUAGUGUAAGUCUGUCCCAAAUAUUGUAGAAUCCAUCCAAACGCUGCCGGACACCCUGUGUCUCAGCCGCAGGAUGGCCACGCUGCACACUUAGUGCGGGCCCGGAGCUGCCGGUGCAGAAGGGGGUUUCUGAGUUGGAGGGAUGCAGGUGCGGUUCCCCCCCAGCUUCCUUGGGAUGCCCAGUGUGGACAUACAGGGAUGAGGUCCCCUGGGGCUAAACGAAUGAACAGUUUUUGAAAAGCAGAAGCUACGUCCAGGGGGUUUCUGGGCCUCAAAUUGCGCAGACUUGCGGUGCUGGGGAGACGUUUUGCCUGCAGGCAGCAGGCUCUGAAUUGCCCUUUAGCUCCCGACCUGGGGUACAGCGAGAAGGAGGAGACGGAGGCAGACCGGCACGGGGUGGUCAGGGACAGCGGUGCUGACACACGGCUGCUCAAAGAUGACUUGGAACUCGAGGCCCAGCUCGUUAUUCUGGGGGUGACUGGCUCCCAGUGUCUGGACGGGUCUGAGCCCCACCACAGCUGGCCUGGACUGGACUGGAAACCGUGCCCAUUAACGACCCCUGGGCCACCCAGAGCCCCCAGCUCCGGAGACCCCGGGGUCUGGUUUGUGGCUGUUUGUCGCCCACGGGCCCCUCCACCAGCUCCUUUCGGUAAAGAGUAUGGCCUCCUAGAUACCGACCUCAUGCCAUACGGAUGCAGUCAGGCUCUGGCGGUCAGGAAGGUGGCUCCGGAGCUCGGCUCUGCACCGCAUCCUCUGCCCCCUGUUUCCCGAGAUUGCUCCUGGACACACCUUUCUCUCCCGCCCUGUGGGGUACACAGCACCCAUGACAGCUUCUGUGGGACAAGAAACGGUGCGGGGCGAGGAGGGCGGGAGGCGGAGGAAGCAGAUCUGGGUCUGGGUUCUGUUUGUGGAGUGGAAAUGUAAGAACCAGGCGAGCUGACCGGGUGGCUGGGCCGUGUGGACCCAGAUCAGCACUGUGCCAUGGUGCUCUCGAGAGCCAAAGAGCCAGCCCACCUUGCAGGGCUGGGCCCGUCUGUUCCAGAAACCACAUCUGCAGCCAUACGGCAGCAGCUGCCUGUUGACGGCAGCGUUGGAUCCUCUGACCACAGCUGAAGCUUUGACCAACAAAAGUCCCAGGGAGCUGCUCAGGGCGGGAUCAGAAAAGAGGGUGCUUAGCAAGCCACACGCCACACACCCUCCCUGGGAGGCCCUGACAGCGCUUCUCUCCCUCCCAUUUUCGCUCUGGCAGCCAUCGUGGCGCAGACCGUGGAGCAGGGGCAGCUCUUACCCCUGGGUCUGGCAUCAGGAGCGUGUCCCACCGGCUCUGUUGCCGCAGCCUCAAAGCCCCACGUGGGGCAGCAGCCGGAUCGGCACUGGGGGAGCCGGAAUCCAUCAACCUCGGCCUCAGAUCAGCAUCCGCCCAGCCCUCCUGCCCCACAUCCGAGCCAUUUCAAGGGCUGCAGGGACAUUGGGAUGAUGGGGAAGUGGGCCGAGGACAGCCCCAGGGAAGGCUUUGUCUGAACUCCUCAAAUCACCGGGCGCUGACAUUUGGGAUUUUUGCCUUCCUGGCGCACCCCCACCCCACAUGCACACUCACGUGCAUGGCGUCGGCAGGAUGUGGGUGCUGCAGAGGUGCCCCCACUUCUGUGUCUCCCACGCAGCCCCGGGAACCUGGGCCCCACAGGAGCCAGGAGCUGCAGCACAGGUCAGGAGCAGCCCUGCAAGCCUGCGGGGAGAAGGGAGCCGCCCCUGGUCCCCUUCUCCAGAAACCCCAGACUGGGGGUGAGGGUGUCUGGUGUGGGUGGCCGGGAGUUGGUGCUACACAUUGAACAGGGUCGUUCCGGCACCGUCUCUGUCCGCUCAUGCAGACAAGGAUCAGAUUUGCACACCCCAAGUGCAAGGGGACACCUGGGGUGCCCUCUGCAGCGCCUCCCUGCGGGGCAGCCCUUCUGUGGGGUGCUCUGUGAGGAGGGCCUGGGAUCCGGUCUGCAGGAAACUGGAUGGAGCGGGCCAGGGCCUGACCGUCUCCCCCACCCCAGCCCCAGGCCUUCCCCUCCCCAUGCCUGUAUGGGUGAUCCCACCCCAGUCCACCUGGCUUGCCAGUGAGGUUUGCAACGCCUUCUCUUCAAGCCUUUGAGUAGACUAAUUUGUACAGAAUUUGCCAGAAUUGACAACCUGCAGGUAUGAUUUCCAAAAAUUUAACUGGCUUUUAUCACCUGCCCUAGGACCAAGAAGCUUGACCUUUUCUCCCCAACUGCUAAAUCGCCAGUCCUUUGGAGCAACAGUGUCCUCUACAUAAAGGAGCAGUUAGACUAAUUUAAAACAGUAUUGACCUUUCCUUCCUGCCCUUUUCAUUUUGACUAAAUUACAGGGUGCGGCUCUGCAAUUCGCCUUCCGGUCUGUGAGUGACUCCGAGUCAGCACCCACCUUGCCUUGCUGCUUAAUCAAGGAGAGUGCUGCUGCUGGUGAUGCAGGGCAGGGCACCAACGCCCUGGGGCGAUGCAGGGCAGGGCACCAUCCACCAACGCCCCGACCCAGCGUCUCUCGUGGGGUCAAGGUUACAAGGAAGGCGGGCCAGGGGCGAGGCCUGCCUCUGUCCACAGGCAGACACGGAUGCCGAGGCUGGAAGGACCUUCCUGGCCCUCUCCUAACGGAGGCCCCGAGAGGGGAGGAGGCUGCAGGGAUCAUCCAGCCCCUCAGGGCAGCACUCAGACCAGCCUCAGGGCCAUCAGCCAGGACGGCCGGUAUCCUUGACUCUUGCUUCAGGUCCCAACACUCUAUUUCAAGGGGAUGCUGGGCCCUCCCCAAUAACUCCCCACCGUGUCCCAGGAGAGCCUCCAGCUGGCCAAGAAGCCUCACCUGGCUCACAGCUUUGCUGCCCUUAAACUGAGGUCACAACAGGCCCUGGUGUCAGUGCAGCCUUGGCUCCCAAGGGUGACACAUCCGCGC